CUGGCCACAGAACGCGCGUGGGGAGGGGAGCAGUUUGGCAAUGGUGCUUUUUAUGUAGGUCCCUAGAGACUAUACUAUCACUUCUACCUUCCACAGGACCCUCCCUGUUCUGAGCUACAGAGGGAGGGUACACCUAACAUGAAGCCCCAAGCAAAGCACAGAGUACACCUCACUGCAUGGACGUCUGGGGACCUGCCUGGCCUAGAAAAACAGCCUCCCCUUUUUCCCCCCAGCAGGGGAACUGGCUUGCAGGUCUGCGCAGGUGGCACUCACCCGCUGAUGACCUUUUGAGGAGAAUGGUCACAACUGGCAAUACAAACAAAUCUGGGAGCUAAUGAGGAACCUGUCUAGUACCUGGCUAUAAGGACCGAGGACAUCCAAUCUUGCUAGCCCUACCUGGGAGUUUCUCGCCCCAUCUCUGCUUGAAUGGUUCCUGCUAGUUCAAAUUGAAGAUGGAGGUUCUAGGUAAGUGCUCCGUCCUGCCCUACCCUAUGCAAUUGUGACACAUGACCACAAGUGUUUCUUUUCCUCUCCCUAACCCCAUUUUUUUUUAAUGUUUGGGAUUGUGUCUUGUGGUGAUAUAUUGUUUAUGAUUUAUUAAAGCCGCUGGUGGUGGUACACACCUUUAAUCACAGGACUCAGGAUUAAGGGGUAGAUGGAUUUCUGUUAGUUCAAGGCCACACUGAAUACACAAAAUUGAUCCAGCCCUAAAAGAAACAGCUCACACAAAGGUGAUCUCAGCACCUGGGAUCACAGGCCUCUGAUCCCAGCACUAGGGAGGUGGAAACAGGAGUGAUAUGGCUGGGUGAAGAAAGGCAUAUAAGGAGGAGAUGGGAAUUCAGAGCUUUUGCCUGUGAGGAUUCGUGGAGACAGGAUUGCCAUUUCAGCUGGGUAGGGUAAGAUCUACUGGCUUGGCCGCUUUGCUUCUCUGAUCUUCAGCUUGAAGCUUGAGCCCCAAUAUCAGUCUCUGGGUCUUGUAUUGUUUGUGUGUUUGUGCUACAGUGUCUUGCAAUGUAGCUCAAGCUGGGCUUAAAUUCUCCAUCCCCCUACCUCCCUGACAGUAGGCUAAUGGGCUUGCACCAUCAUACCCAUUUACUCCUAAGUGUCUGACUCACUUGAAGAAGCUAAGUGCCCCACCGAGGCUCCUUCCCUUCCCUUCCUCCGUGAAGUUAGUUUUUCUUCAAGAUGGCUCCAACUCUUAUGUCACCAUGUGUGUCAGCAGUUUAGUCUUUCCUAUGCCCAGCUACCUCAGAAUUUUCUCAUUUGGACAGCCAUUGCCUGACUUACCAAGUGAAAUUUAUAUCUCUUCUUUCCCUUGUUAUGUCCAUGGCUAUUGCCUCCAUU
rnacentral:lncRNA from 1 species